CAGACUGUCCACCCCCGAUCGCGGGCCCCAGCGAGCGGACAGACACCGCGCUCGCGGCCAGUUUGCCUCCUCUUAAAUGAAAACACUGGGGAGACACUUGAAGGAAGGACCAGAAAGCCCGAGUCCUCCUGUGCCCCGGCGGCGGGACUAGCGCCUGCCCUACAGGCAUGUCACCGCGGUGACUUCCGCACCUGCUGUCCCCCGGAGGGAGGUAGCAGAGACGGAAUCACCCCUGCUCUCAUCUCGCAGGCUUCCUCUUUGCUCCAAAAACCCAAGCAAGAACCACGAUCUCUAGAACUCCAGUAACCUUUGACAUGAAAGAGGUGACUGAAAGGAGAACAUCUACUCCGCAGAGGAUGGCAGUAUCUCUUGAUUGGUGAACAUUCCUAGACUAAAAUUAGGAGUUCUGUCUGUCAAAGACACCACUAAGAAAAGGAAAAUGGAAGCCAGAGAGUGGAAGAUGGGAAUUGUAACACAUAUGACUGACAAAGAAUUGUCACAGAUCUGUAAGAUUAACCCUGGAGAAGGAAAUGGCAACCCACUCCAGUACCCUUGCCUGGAAAAUUCCAUGGACAGGGGAGCCUGUUAGGCUACAGUCCAUGGGGUCACAAAGAGUCGGACACGACUGAGCGACUUCACUUUCUUUUUUUGCUUUGUAAGAUUAAAGAGCAGGUUAGACACUGCUGAAUUAAAAGAGACGUGAACGGAAGGAAUUAUUUGGAACACCACCUAAAAGGGCAGAGAUGCAAAAUAAAGAACUAUACCAAACAAUAAAGAAGUAAGUGUAAUAAGUUCUAGCAUAUAUAAAGGGACAAUAUUUAAGGACAUAAGACUAAGACUUUUUCAGGAAAUAACGGCUAAGAUUUAAAUGCUAAAAUAUCAGAAUCCAAGUGGACUUCAAGUAGGGGGGAAAAGUCCACAACUAGAAGUAACACAGAGAAGCUAUAGGACAUGAAAAAUGAAAGGUCUUGAGCUUCCCUGGUGGUACAGUGGAUGGGAGGCCACCUGUCAAUGCAAGGGACACUGGGUCAAUCUCUGGUCCAAGAAGAUUCCCCAUGCCAAGGAGCAGCUAAGCCAGUGCACCACAGCUACUGCGGCCACGCGCCUAGAGCCUGUGCUCUGCGACCAGAGAGACCACCGUCUUGAAAACCCUGCUCCCUGUGACUAGAGAGUAGCCCGCUAGCAGCAGUGAAGACCCAGCACAGCCAAAAAUUAAUUCAUUAAGAAAGACAAAAGAUCUUAAAAGCAUCCAAGAAAAAAGCUAGAUUACUUACAAAGAAAUGGCAAUGAGAGUAAAAUCUUGUUUUUCAGUGACCGUGGUAUUCGAGUCAUGACACUUCACUGUGCUCAGAGGAACUGAAGAGUUACCCACAGUUCUCCAUACUGACACUGUCUUUAAGAGCAAAGGUUAAAUAAAAACAUUUUCUGACUUAAAAACUAGGAGUGUUUUUCUCUAAGAGACACUCAUUAAAAGGACAUAUUACAAAUAUAUGGAGAAAAACCUCAGGUGGAAUGUCCAAGGGACGAGAAGAAAUUGCGAGUAAAGGUAUCAGCAAAUAUAAAUAAAUACAGAUGGUAUAAAAUAAAGUAGUGUCUAGUUUAGGAGUGUGGGUAAUAGAAUACAACUAAAAUACUGAACAACUGGAUGAGUGGUGCUUUGCAGUUAAGAGAACAGAUACUAAAUACAGAUUUCUUCGGUUCAAAUCCCAACUCCGGUACUAAUUAUCUGCUACUUCUUGCCCUACUUCGUGUGUGCUCAGCUGCUCAGUCGUAGCCAACUCUUUGCGACCCCAUGGACUGUAGCCCACCAGGCUCCUCUCCAAACAAGAAUACUGGAGUGGGUUGCCAUUUCCUCCUCCAGGGGA